rnacentral:rRNA from 1 species
GAUGAACGCUGGCGGCAUGCCUAAGACAUGCAAGUCGAACGAAGGGACCCAAUGAGAUUUAUAGAAGUUUGGAGAGCUUGCUCAAAGAAUGGAAAUAAAUCAAUUUGGAUCAUCCCUUAGUGGCAAACGGGUGAGUAACACGUGGGUUACCUGCCUUCAAGAUGGGGAUAACAGUUGGAAACGAUUGCUAAUACCGAAUGUGAUCUACGGAUUAAAGAAGCCUUUAAAGCUUCGCUUGAAGAUGGGCCUGCGGUGCAUUAGCUAGUUGGUGAGGUAACGGCCCACCAAGGCACGAUGCAUAGCCGAACUGAGAGGUUAAAUCGGCCACAAUGGAACUGAGAUACGGCCCAGACUCCUACGGGAGGCAGCAGUGGGAAUAUUGCACAAUGGGCGAAGCCUGAUGCAGCAACGCCGCG